rnacentral:rRNA from 1 species
UACAGGGGGGGCAAGCGUUGUUCGGAAUUACUGGGCGUAAAGGGCUCGUAGGCGGCCAACUAAGUCCGACGUGAAAUCCCAAAGCUUAACUUUGGAACUGCGUCGGAUACUGGAUGGCUUGAAUUCGGGAGAGGGAUGCAGAAUUCCAGGUGUAGCGGUGAAAUGCGUAGAUAUCUGGAGGAAUACCGGUGGCGAAGGCGGCAUCCUGGACCGACAUUGACGCUGAGGAGCGAAAGCUAGGGGAGCGAACGGG